CGAGAAGGAAGGUAGCUCUGCCAGCGUCUACCCUGGGACAAGCCUUCUGUUCACAUGAUCCCAUUUAAAACUUGCAAAGGCACAAAGCAUCUUGGGAACGGAGGAAAAAGGAAGAAGAGCUUUGCGUGGGGUGUGGAAGGGCCUCCUAAAAGCCUUGCCAGGAGACGUGACAUUUAAGGCACACCUUGAAGAAGAAGAAGAAGAACAACAACAACAACAAAAAAUACUGUAUGCUCUGUGCUUGAUUAGAUGAGAAAACUAAACCGAGGCACAGAGAGGUUAAGUGACUGACUCAUCUAAGACCAGGCAUUACUACAUCUACCAAAUGGCAGCAGAGUCAGAACUCAAACCCAGAAAGGAGACUUCUGGCAAGUGUCCCCCACCUCUCAGAACCCCAGUUUGUGUGUGUGUGUUUAUUUUGUUUUGUUUUGUUUUGUUUUUAAAUCCAUAGAUAGAGGGCACGCAUGACAUACAGAGUUGCUGAGGGCUCGAAACUGAGAUAAUCCCCGUGAAAGGCUCAGGCCGUGCCUGGCACUCGGUUAAGUGUUCGAGGAUUGCAGAUGGCUCUUAUCGUGCCGCCCGGGCGGUGUUAUCUCCGCGCCUCCCCUCCCCCUGCGGCCGC
rnacentral:lncRNA from 1 species